rnacentral:rRNA from 1 species
CUGGCCUUGACAUGUCUGGAAUCCCUGAGAGAUCGGGGAGUGCCUUCGGGAACCAGAACACAGGUGCUGCAUGGCUGUCGUCAGCUCGUGUCGUGAGAUGUUGGGUUAAGUCCCGCAACGAGCGCAACCCUCGUCCUAUGUUGCCAGCGAGUAAUGUCGGGGACUCAUAGGAGACUGCCGGGGUCAACUCGGAGGAAGGUGGGGAUGACGUCAAAUCAUCAUGCCCCUUAUGUCUUGGGCUGCACACAUGCUACAAUGGCCAGUACAAAGGGCUGCAAUACCGCAAGGUGGAGCUAAUCCCAAAAAGCUGGUCUCAGUUCGGAUUGGGGUCUGCAACUCGACCCCAUGAAGUCGGAGUCGCUAGUAAUCGCAGAUCAGCAACGCUGCGGUGAAUACGUUC